GGCAGGGGAACGAAGGCUAAAAACAUCACGUCCUGUGAUAUCGCCCACGUGACCAACCUCCCGCUGC
rfam:Lysinibacillus xylanilyticus strain DSM 23493 Scaffold4, whole genome shotgun sequence.